AUUGAACGCUGGCGGCAUGCCUUACACAUGCAAGUCGAACGGCAGCGGACCUUCGGGUGCCGGCGAGUGGCGAACGGGUGAGUAAUAUAUCGGAACGUACCUUUCAGUGGGGGAUAACGUAGCGAAAGUUACGCUAAUACCGCAUAUUCUGUGAGCAGGAAAGCAGGGGAUCGCAAGACCUUGCGCUGAUUGAGCGGCCGAUAUCAGAUUAGCUAGUUGGUGAGGUAAAGGCUCACCAAGGCGACGAUCUGUAGCGGGUCUGAGAGGAUGAUCCGCCACACUGGAACUGAGACACGGUCCGGACUCCUACGGGAGGCAGCAGUGGGGAAUUUUGGACAAUGGGCGCAAGCCUGAUCCAGCCAUGCCGCGUGAGUGAAGAAGGCCUUC
rnacentral:rRNA from 1 species